AUUGACCGCUGGCGGAGGGCCUAACCCAUUCCAGUCGAGCGGAGCGGCGGAAGAGUGAGUAAUGCCUAGUAAUCUGCCUGGUCGUGGGGGAUAACGUCCGGAACCGGGCGCUAAUACCGCAUACUCUCAGAUGAGACUAGGUCGGAUUAGCUAGUUGGUGGGGUAAAGGCCUACCAAGGCGACGAUCCGUAACUGGUCUGAGAGGCUGAUCAGUCCCACUGGAACUGAGACACGGUCCAGACUCCUACGGGAGGCAGCAGUGGGGAAUAUUGGACAAUGGGCGAAAGCCUGAUCCAGCCAUGCCGCGUGUGUGAAGAAGGUCUUCGGAUUGUAAAGCACUUUAAGUUGGGAGGCGUUACCAACAGAAUAAGCACCGGCUAACUUCGUGCCAGCAGCCGCGGUAAUAC
rnacentral:rRNA from 1 species